GCUAGCGUUAGCCUUAGCUAACUCCUUCACCACUAACAGCGUGAGCUGGAAAAUCAAGCUUUUCCAGAACCGUGUGGGGAGGAGGGCCACGACAUCAUGGCCCCCAACAAAUCUCAGCAAAGAUUGUUCCUGCUCUGGCUUUAACUUCUGGACCGAAUGGCUUCACUCCCAUCUUCUACAGAACUACAACUCAAGCUAGUGCACGAUCUCAACGCCAUCGUUCUCAGACUCUCCCUCUGUUCGCUGAACAUUUGGC